AGUUUGAUUAUGGCUCAGAACGAACGCUGGCGGCGCGUCUUAAGCAUGCAAGUCGAACGGCAAGAGGUAGCAAUACCUCCUAGAGUGGCGGACUGGGUGAGUAACACGUGGGUGACAUACCCUUCAGAUGGGGAUAGCUAUUAGAAAUAGUAGAUAAUACCGAAUACGAGCACGAGGGGUUAGAGAUCUGUGAGGAAAGGAGCUAAGGCUCCGCUGAAGGAAUGGCCUGCGGCCCAUUAGCUAGUUGGUGAGGUAAGACGCCCACCAAGGCGAUGAUGGGUAUCCCGGCCUUAGAGGGUGAACGGACACAUUGGGACUGAGAUACGGCCCAGACUCCUACGGGAGGCAGCAGCUAAGAAUAUUCCGCAAUGGACGAAAGUCUGACGGAGCGACGCCGCGUGGAAUGAAGAAGGCCGGAAGGUUGUAAAAUCCUUUUGAAACUGAAGAAUAAGCGUUGUAGGGAAUGACAGCGUGGUGACAGUUAGGUUUUGAAUAAGCAACGGCUAAUUACGUGCCAGCCGCAGC
rnacentral:rRNA from 1 species